rnacentral:rRNA from 1 species
GACGAACGCUGGCGGCGUGCUUAACACAUGCCAGUCGAACGGAAAGGCCCUGCUUUUGUGGGGUGCUCGAGUGGCGAACGGGUGAGUAACACGUGAGUAACCUGCCCUUGACUUUGGGAUAACUUCAGGAAACUGGGGCUAAUACCGGAUAGGAGCUCCUGCUGCAUGGUGGGGGUUGGAAAGUUUCGGCGGUUGGGUCUGGACUCGCAGCUUAUGAGCUUGUUGGUGGGGUAGUGGCUUACCAAGGCUUUGACGGGUAGCCGGCCUUGGAGGUGGACCGGCGACCUGGGGACUGAGAUACGGACCAGUCGCCUACGGGAGGCAGCAGUGGAGAAUAUGGCGCAAUGGGCGGAAGCCUGAGACAGCAACGCCGCGUGCGGGAUGACGGCCUUCGGGUUGUAAACCGCUGUCGCCUGUGACGAAGCGUGAGUGACGGUAAUGGGUAAAGAAGCACCGGCUAACUACGUG